GACAAUCCAAACGGUAAAGGAGGCUCGGUCGCCAAGCAAGCGCCGUAUCAAUUAUCGGGCUUUCUAAGUUCCAUAGAAAUUUAGUCUCGAAACAUUUCGCUAAAAAUCCGUUGCAAAAAUUAUAGGACGUGUUAAAAUUCCUUGUAUGUUCGAAGAUGGGUAUUUAUUCUAUACGCUGGCGAAGUUUUACCGGGAACAAAGCAAUUUGAAGGGGAUAUAUUUCGAGCUGAAUUGUUCGUGUCGGCCGUUCGGGAACUGGAAUCGUUAGCCUUUGUAUUCAAUACUAUCACCUGUGAAGACAGUCGCAGGCAUCGAAUGUAAAGUCGCUCAGAAAUAAAAGACAAUCACAUGCAAUCAAAGUAGGCAAGUAAAUAUGAUUUUAAAAUAUAAAAUUCAUUACAAAUUUUAUUGUUUAGUAUAUUCUAUAAUGAUAUAUUUACUGACAAUUACUGUACUCUGAUACAGUACACGUCUGGGCCGCCUGUGA